CGGUGUGAGUAAAGCGGCGGACGGGUGAGUAACGCGUAGGAAUCUACCUAGUUAGUGGGGGACAACUCGGGGAAACUCGAGCUAAUACCGCAUACGCCCUACGGGGGAAAGCGGGGGACCUUCGGGCCUCGUGCUAUUAGAUGAGCCUGCGUUGGAUUAGCUAGUUGGUGGGGUAAAGGCCUACCAAGGCGACGAUCCAUAGCUGGUCUGAGAGGAUGAUCAGCCACACCGGGACUGAGACACGGCCCGGACUCCUACGGGAGGCAGCAGUGGGGAAUAUUGCGCAAUGGGCGAAAGCCUGACGCAGCCAUGCCGCGUGUGUGAAGAAGGCCUUCGGGUUGUAAAGCACUUUCAAUUGGGAGGAAAGGUUCACGGUUAAUAACCGUGAGCUGUGACGUUACCUUUAGAAGAAGCACCGGCUAACUCCGUGCCAGCAGCCGCGGUAAUACGGAGGGUGCGAGCGUUAAUCGGAAUUACUGGGCGUAAAGCGCGCGUAGGUGGUCUGUUAAGUCGGAUGUGAAAGCCCCGGGCUCAACCUGGGAACUGCAUCCGAUACUGGCAGACUAGAGUGCGGGAGAGGGAGGUAGAAUUCCAUGUGUAGCGGUGAAAUGCGUAGAUAUGUGGAGGAAUACCAGUGGCGAAGGCGGCCUCCUGGCUCGACACUGACACUGAGGUGCGAA
rnacentral:rRNA from 1 species